AUUUCUUAUUUAUAUAGUUUAAUUAAAAACAUUACUUUUUCAAAGUAAAAAUAUUUUUUUUAUAA
rnacentral:tRNA from 1 species